rnacentral:sRNA from 1 species
AGUUUGAGACCAGCCUGGCCAACAUGGUGAAAUCUCAUCUCUACUAAAAAUACAAAAAUUGGCCCGGCACAGUGUUGAUUUCCUGGCUCCAGCCUCAGGAGAGUUAUGGGAUCGACUUCGCCUGACCUGCUCCCAACCUUUCACGCGUCAUCAGUCCUUUGGCCUGGCCUUUCUACGGGUGCGUUCUUCUCUGGACUCCUUAGAUGACUCUGUGGUGGGUCCCUCAGCCCUUGUGAGCUCUGUGCUGAACAAG